UACGUAGGUGGCAAGCGUUGUCCGGAAUUACUGGGCGUAAAGGGCGUGUAGGCGGCCUUUUAAGUCAGACGUGAAAUCUCCAGGCUUAACCUGGAAACUGCGUUUGAAACUGGAGGGCUUGAGGAUCGGAGAGGGCAGUGGAAUUCCCAGUGUAGCGGCGAAAUGCGUAGAUAUUGGGAGGAACACCAGUGGCGAAGGCGACUGCCUGGACGACACCUGACGCUGAGGCGCGAAAGCUAGGGGAGCAAACGGG
rnacentral:rRNA from 1 species